ACGGAGGGUGCAAGCGUUAUCCGGAUUCACUGGGUUUAAAGGGUGCGUAGGUGGAUUGGUAAGUCAGUGGUGAAAUCCCCGAGCUUAACUUGGGAACUGCCAUUGAUACUAUUAGUCUUGAAUACCGUGGAGGUCAGCGGAAUAUGUCAUGUAGCGGUGAAAUGCUUAGAUAUGACAUAGAACACCAAUUGCGAAGGCAGCUGGCUACUCGAGUAUUGACACUGAGGCACGAAAGCGUGGGGAUCAAACAGGAUUAGAUACCCUGGUAGUCCACGCCCUAAACUAUGGAUACUCGACAUUUGCGAUACACAGCAAGUGUCUGAGCGAAAGCAUUAAGUAUCCCACCUGGGAAGUACGAUCGCAAGAUUG
rnacentral:rRNA from 1 species